rnacentral:rRNA from 1 species
AACGAACGCUGGCGGCGUGCCUAACACAUGCAAGUCGAACGGAAUUAGAGAGCUUGCUCUUUGAUUUAGUGGCGCACGGGUGAGUAACGCGUAGAUAAUCUGCCUGACGAUCUGGGAUAACACUUCGAAAGAGGUGCUAAUACCGGAUAAGCCCACGGGUUCUUUGGAAUCUGCGGGAAAAGGGGGGGACCUUCGGGCCUUCUGUCGUCAGAUGAGUCUGCGUACCAUUAGCUAGUUGGUAGGGUAAAGGCCUACCAAGGCGACGAUGGUUUGCGGGUCAGAGAGGAUGAUACGCCAAAAUGGAACUGAGACACGGUCCAGACUCCUACGGGAGGCAGCAGUGGGGAAUUUUGCGAAAUGGGCGAAAGCCUGACGCAGCAACGCCGCGUGAGUGAUGAAGGCUUUCGGGUCGUAAAGCUCUGUCAAUGGGAAAGAAGUGUAUUUAGGCUAAUAUCCUUGAUACUUGACGGUACCCAUAAAGGAAGCACCGGCUAACUCCGUGCCAGCCGCCGCCGUAACAC